GACGAACGCUGGCGGCGUGCCUAAUACAUGCCAGUAGAACGCUGAAGGAGGAGCUUGCUCUUCUGGAUGAGUUGCGAACGGGUGAGUAACGCGUAGGUAACCUGCCUGGUAGCGGGGGAUAACUAUUGGAAACGAUAGCUAAUACCGCAUAAGAGUAGAUGUUGCAUGACAUUUGCUUAAAAGGUGCAAUUGCAUCACUACCAGAUGGACCUGCGUUGUAUUAGCUAGUUGGUGGGGUAACGGCUCACCAAGGCGACGAUACAUAGCCGACCUGAGAGGGUGAUCGGCCACACUGGGACUGGGACACGGCCCAGACUCCUACGGGAGGCAGCAGUAGGGAAUCUUCGGCAAUGGACGGAAGGCUGACCGAGCAACGCCGCGUGAGUGAAGAAGGUUUUCGGAUCGUAAAGCUCUGUUGUAAGAGAAGAACGAGUGUGAGAGUGGAAAGUUCACACUGUGACGGUAGCUUACCAGAAAGGGACGGCUAACUACGUG
rnacentral:rRNA from 1 species